GUUUUUGGUCAUCAAAUGUGUCUUUAAUAGAGAUAGCCAGAUCUACUUGAUCUUUUUUCACCAUAGUAUCAGGUAAUUCACCUUCGAAUUUCUCUUCCGGAGAAGAUCCGCCAAUGAGAUCUUGAGAUGCAGGAUGCUCAAUUUUCUUACCUGGUGAAAACUUCAGAAGCUUUGUUGUACAUUUGCGAAGCCAGGACAUGGUUCCAGCAGAAGCCAUAGAUCCUGAAUUAAGAGCACCUGGCAACAACUCAUUGUUAGCCCUUACAGGUGUGUCCUGGAAACCAUCAGUUAAAUAUUCCUGUGCAACAUUUCGCAGGGAAGGGGCCUCUAAAUCCACCACAUCAUUUAGAGGUUGAAGGUCAGAAAGCUCAAAUAUACGAAUCCCCUCUCCACAUGAGCUGCAAUUCUCCUGCUUCUUGACAAAAGCAAGAAACCUCUCCCUUUCUUUUGCAAAAGCUUCCCUUUGAUCCUUCAACUUCCUGCUUAAACCAUCGAGCACAUCAAUGUCCUUUUUCAUCUCUGACUGUUGUUCCACCAGAUGCAUCUUGUUUGAUGAAAUUUCUUGUUUUUCGUGCUCCAGCCUUACUCUUUCUGACUUCAUCACUUCCAUUUCCUUAUGGGCUACUUCCCUUAAAUAGUUAGCAUUGCUGAGUUCCCUCUGCCUCUCUUCCUCAAAGCGUUUCUUCUGCUCAUGCAGUGCGGAUUCCAUUUCCUCCCGCUUCCGCUGCAUUUCACUCUCAAGAUCUCGUUUUUGUUUUUCGAAAUCAUGAAGCAUUCGGAUCUUCUCACUUUGAGUUUUCUCAGAUAAUACUGAUCUCUCAUGAUCCAUUGUAGCUGCAAAUGUCUCUUGUGCCACCUUAAGGGCUUCCAACUCUCUCUGAACAUAAUUUUCUGUUUCCAGCUUCUCCUUCUUCAACCUUUCCUCUUCAGUGUGCUGCAGUUUCUCAAAUUUCUUUUUCGAAUCAUUAACUUCCUGCAACUCCUUCUUGAUCGCAGAUCUUUUCUCAUCCAGCUCUUCCCAUUCUCUCUCAAAUCUCUCUUUUUCCUGCUUUAAAUCUUCAGCUUCAUUCAAAAGAGUGUCUCGCAAAUCUCUGCACUUGUCGAUCUCCUGCUUCAGUUCUGAUUGAAGGCGAGCAUGUUCCAUUUUCUCAUCUUCGGUUAUUUUAAGCUGCUCGAUUCCCUCAUUAAUCUUGAGCUGUUGUUUUUCAAGUUCAGCUCUUCUGUUCUCAAGUUCAACUCUUAAAUCCAGUAAACGAUCCUUCUCAGUAAAUAUCUGCUUCUUUUCAGUUUCCAAUUCUCUCUCAUCAAUUUUCAGAGACUUCUCCCUUUCCUUUAGUGCUUUCAGCUUCAAUUCAAGAUCUUUUUCCUUCUCUUUCAUUUUGUCACUUUUCUUUUCAAGUGCCUGUUCACGUUUUUUGAGUUUUUCUUCAAUAUGACCAACUUCAGCCUCCUUCUUCUCCAGUUCAAUCACCUUGUUUUCCAGUUCCUCAUCUAGUGAUGCAUGCCUCUGUCUCAUCUCUAAUUCAAACUCCUCCUCCUUAGAUUUCAGGAUAGCUCUAUGUUCAUCCAUUAGCUUUUGAAUUUCCUCUCUUUCUUUUGCAUUUAGCUUUUCCUGUAGUUCAUCUAAUUCUUCCUUUUUUAUCUCCAGGCUCUUUCUCACAUCCUCAAGUUCCUUCUCCUUAGAAGCAAGGAUAGCUAGUCGGCUGCUCAUGUCAACUUCUUUCUUCCUCAAAACUGAGU
rnacentral:misc_RNA from 1 species